ensembl:snoRNA
UAGAGGAAUCAGUCCACAACCUUAAGUGGAAAGUUCUUUUUUCUGACCAUUGUCAGUGUUUUGAUGAUGGCGUUCAGCUUGCCAAAUGUCA